rnacentral:rRNA from 1 species
GAUGAACGCUGGCGGCGUGCCUAAUACAUGCAAGUCGAGCGAACAGAUAAGGAGCUUGCUCCUUUGACGUUAGCGGCGGACGGGUGAGUAACACGUGGGUAACCUACCUAUAAGACUGGAAUAACUCCGGGAAACCGGGGCUAAUGCCGGAUAACAUUUAGAACCGCAUGGUUCUAAAGUGAAAGAUGGUUUUGCUAUCACUUAUAGAUGGACCCGCGCCGUAUUAGCUAGUUGGUAAGGUAACGGCUUACCAAGGCAACGAUACGUAGCCGACCUGAGAGGGGGAUCGGCCACACGGGAACUGAGACACGGUCCAGACUCCUACGGGAGGCAGCAGUAGGGAAUCUUCCGCAAUGGGCGAAAGCCUGACGGAGCAACGCCGCGUGAGUGAUGAAGGUCUUCGGAUCGUAAAACUCUGUUAUGAGGGAAGAACAAAUGUGUAAGUAACUGUGCACGUCUUGACGGUACCUAAUCAGAAAGCCACGGCUAACUACGUG